GAUUUCUAGGAGUAUAUUUUUAGUUUUUGUUAAUUAGUAGGAAAAUAAUUUUUUUUAGAAAACCUUUUAUAAAAAUCCUUCUUUUAAUUUUUGAUUUCUUUUCUUUUAAUUUGGUUUUGAUUUUUUUGUUUGCAGGUGAGAAAUAAAAUGGGCCGCUGUUUUGGGCUUAUGGUGUUAAUAGAAGAAGAAUUGGGAUGCUGAAAUUGGAUUGUCGCUGUUGUGUUGCACUGAAGCUGCACUGGGCGGAGUUAAACGAUGGUGCAGUUAGCAUUUGAGCUGCUGAUGGGUUAAAGCCCACUGAAUCAAAACGUUGCUGCCACACUUGGGACGUUGUUUCUGCUGUUUCUUAUUAGGCCACUGCAUUGGAACUAAUGAGAAGCAAUUCUUGGGUUGAUUUGGAAAAAAAUGAAACGCACGUUUUGGGUCCAUCANCGUUUAAUGAAGUGUGCGUUUUGAUGGCUGAAGAGUUGUGCAGGGUCUUGGUUAACACUCUUCAUUUGGAGGCAAUAAAAAAAAAGCACUCUUUCGAGCACGAGAAGAAACGAGAAACGGAGAAAGCACCUGGAAGCUAGGGCUCGUGCCACUUAAUCGGUUCAGAAGCUAAAGGAAGAAGAGCUCGAGGCACGUGUGGGUCUGAACCGGCAAAGAAAGCAGCAAGGUGAUCGGAGGGUUGAGAAGCAAAUUGAAGAAGGGGCCGUUGGAUGAAGAGGUUAGGAUGAAGGUCUUGUUCGCUUUUCUUUCUUUAUCUGUUUUGGAUUUUUACCCUAUAUAAAGGGAUUGCUUUCAUGUAAAUAGGGGACGCUGGGAUAUUCAUCGGGUCACUUUCAAUUUUUUUCUGAUUCUUACGUUUUUGAGAGCGAGAGUCUAGGGUUUUAUCGCUUC
rnacentral:lncRNA from 1 species